GAAGGAAGGCUAGAGGAGAGGCAGGGAGCGCAGAGCUGGGCCCGCUGUAGGUGCUUCAAGACUGGGAUGGGGAUGAGAGGGUGGGCUGGACCUCAGGUAAAUACAGAUGAGGAAUGAGAAUGAGGGUGGCUAGGCCAAAGUGUGUGAGUGAAUAGACGGGGAAAUGUGCAUGAAGAAUUAUUGUGAGUCGCUAAGUUCAGGCUGGCAGGUAGACAGGAGUAUUAAAUCUUUCCUUAUAAGAAAUCCCGUAUUACUUCUCACAAAAUUUGUCCAAAAGGACCAAUAGAGCGAAGCUUCAUAUUCUAACCUCCGAGCAGCGGAUUCUGAGAUAGUUUUCCUGCAAUGGAUGUAACACUGAUGUGGCAGCAGCCAAUCAGAGAACAAGACGAGAGGCCUUGUCAUAAGAACCUUGAUGACAUCACUACAAGGGCGAGCGGAGAGCAGACAUUGAAGCUCCACACUGACGACGGGCUCCACGAUGACGCAAGCCGGAUACAGCGCGCCGGUGGUCGGAUCGAAACCCUUCGGACUUGUCGGGGUAAAACAUGCGGAGGGUGCCGCUCAAUUGGACAUGUGACGACGGGCGACCGGAGCUCUGCAGCGGACAUGCAGAGGCUUCGUGGCCGGUAUACUACUGGAGAAGAUUUGACGGUGGUUGACGGAAAAGGCAACUUUUUUUUCUGCCAAUCACGACGAGAGGAAGACGCAACACUCCCAAAGUGCCAUGAGGACUGUGGAUGCUCGCCCCUCACAACCCCAUCAAGUUUGUUGGGAAGAUAAAUCCGCCAAAAUACCCAAGACCUGCAGCACCCAACCAGGUCUGACCACCACUUCCGGUGCUCGCGUGCAGCGUGUGGCGGCUGCGCUGGAGGAUAUUUGGACUGCAACAGGUGUGAGGUGAUGGAAGACAUAAUGAAGAGAGCAAGACAAUGAAUGAUCUGGACGGCAAAGAGGAACUUCAGGAUUUAGGAGAAGAGCAAGGGCUACUGUAAUCUUCAUUCUGCAAUCCUGCAUCGUCCAGGACGCCACCUACACUUCAUUAGCAAAGAAGGAGCUGCUGAAGGUGUUACAUCAGACCAAUGGGCCACCAGGCGGAGAUGCUGUCAUCACACAGACACACAUUCACAUCACAAGUGGACACAUGUUAUGGAUGUCUGUGGUCUAAGCCGACUCUUGGUGGAGGAGCAAAGUGAAUUAAAGUGAAUCAAACUGAACUGAUCUUAGCCAAAGCUAUCUAAACUGGAUUGAAAAACACUUUUGCCGAACAGAAGUCGCUGCUUGAUGUGUGGAGGGAAAAGAUUACACAAAAUAUAUUGAUAAAUCAAUUUGGAAUUAAUUUGUUUGGUUGUUUGGAGCAGGUGGUUGCCGUGGAAAUGCUUUAUUUGAAAACCGUAUUUCACUGUGUGCCAAUUAGUCAACAAGGGCAUUGUUCACCAGAACAAAUACAGUCAUGGAAAAAAUGAUUAGACCACCCUUGUUUCUUCAGUUUCUUCUUCAUUUUAAUGCCUGAUACAACUAAAGGUGCCUUUGUUUGGACAAAUAUAACAAUGACAACAACAACAAUAGAUCAAUAAGUUACAUUUUUUGGCAGUGCAAUGCUAUAGCUAUUCAUGUAAGAACUGAAGUUUUUUUGGUUAUUAUCAAGAAAACUACAGAAGUUGCAAGAUAUCAGCUCUUAAAUUAAACUCUUAUGAGCUAUAUUUGGUAUCAUCAUUAUAUUUGUCCAAACAAAUGUACCUUUAGUUGUACCAGGCAUUAAAAUGGAUCAAAAAACAAAUAAGGCUAGUCUAAUAUUUUUUUCCAUGACUGUAGGUGCCUCUUCCAAAAUGGACUUCUUUUUUUUCCCUGAGGAAAUGAUUCCACUCAGUGGGUGGGAUUGUGUGAAUGCUGCACCAAAAUUGUUCUAUUUGUUAUUUUUUAUUACAUUUAACUCUCAACUACAGUAAUUUCCGGACUAUAGAGCACACUGGUAUAUUGGCUGUACCCACUAAAUUUAAAGAGAAAAAAAGAUUUGUAUAUACGGGCCGCACCUGUCUAUAAGCCACAGGUGUCCACGUCGUAGGAUGGGAUAUUUAGAACACAGAAAGAUGUUACACAGAAAGAUUUUUAAAAAUGUUUAUUAAAUGAAUGCUUUUGCCCAAACCGUGCAGAAAAGUGUGUGUAAAAUGGCUAAUUAAACAUAUAGCCCACCAGAAAAGUCAUUAAUCGAUGUCCUCCUCCUCCUCCUGGAACUAAACCACUAAAGUCGUCUUCUUCAGCAUCACAAUUGAACAGCCUCAUAAUUCCUUUGUCACACUGUUUGCCAGUCUGUCUCUCUCUCUUUAGUCACUUGUGUCUCAAGGCAAAUUAGCCAUUUAGCUUGAGCUGUCCUCUUCAUCCCUCAGUAGUCCAGCCUUUCAAAAACCAGUUGGUAAUAGUGGACGGUUGGCGGUCCGAGCAGUCCAAACAGAAGCGUUCUGCUACAACUCUUCAGCAUUCCCACAUAAUUUCUACAUAAGUUGCCUUCUCCAGUUACCUUUAUUACCGCAGUUUCCACGGAUUACUUGGGUAUACUACAUCCUGAUUUGGUUAACGCAGGGGUCACCAACCCGUCGAUCGUGAUCGACCAGUCGCUCUUUGGGAAUUUGCCGGUCAAUCCUGAAAAUGUUAGGAUAAAUAAGUGCAUUAUCACAUUAGUGCCCUCACCUCACGCAUGCAUUCUGACCCCAGAACACGCCCGUAGCCUCGCAGCUUUCCAGGCAUGCACCUCGCCAGCACCAACCCUGAGUCCAAACCCCAAAACCUGGAGGUCCCAGCGCAUGCCACACGCUCAACCCGCAAGCAACAAGCGUAGUGUGACGUGCACCUCCAAAAAAAAAUUUUUAGCUGUGGUGACGUGGAUCAUUAAGGCUGACUGUUGUAACGCAUCAACCAGCUCCAGCUGUAACAAAACUCCUCCUGUCCUCUCACCCACCAUUGUUCAUAGAGUUGUGGUUUGCUUACAGAGCCGCAAAAGCAGGGGUGCCCAUAGUAGGGCCCAGGGGCCAUUUGUGGCCCGUGUCUCAUUUGUCAUUGGCCGAAGGCACAAUGUACAAACAAAAUUAAAUAAAAAACACAGCAAAAAUGGUAAAAACAAGGCACAGUUAGAAAAAGACAAAAUGUUGAUCCCAACAACCAAUAAUAACAAAGCUUAGGUUUGUCUUUAAAUAUGGACCACUUUUUUUGGUACAAGCCGCAGGAAAAUAUCAGAGGGGGUUUAGGUCAUUGCCUAGGUUCAUGUCCGAGACCAGGCUCACAAAGGUGGCACAGAUGCAUAGCAGAAAGUUACAUGAGCCCUGAACAAAUGACGUAUAUGAAAAAGAUGAAGAAGAAAAAAUAGAUGAUAAAUUGACCAUUAAGAUUCCUGACAAUUGUUUGUAAUUAAUUGCUGAAUAAUUGUUGUCUUGAAGAAAGAGAGGCAAAAUGGAGUGCACUUCCUGGUUGUAUCCAGCAGAGGUGCUCUUGAUUCAGUCAACAGGCGUGUGGCCUGAAAAAAAAAAACGCACGGCAUCAGCUCAGGGCUACGUUCAAGCAGUCCUUCGCUAUGACACCUUUAUACUCGUGUCCACUCAAUGCAACAUUUACAGAGCCAUUCUUGCCGUUUUGUUGGAUGGACUGUCCCUAGAUAGCAUUUGUGUUGUUUUAUGUGUUAUGUAGCACUACCGCUCAAAAGUUUGAGAUCAUCGGAAUUCUUAGAGCUUAUUGUUGCAUUUAGAAAGGAAGACUAUUUAAUGCCAGAAUUUUCGAGGAAACCUAAAAGCUUUAACGAUGCUGUUAACAACACCCUUCAGAGAACAAGCAAACAGGCUAUAUAGUAUAACAAGGGCAUAAAAAGGAGUGGGACACCCCAAUGCACAGCUGCGCAAGAAUAUGAUAUCUAAGAGUUUGUAGUGGGACAGAUUGUCAAUAAAGAUCAGUGUCAGCAUCAACAGGAUGCUGGACAACGUGGCAGAAUUGGCAAGAAAAAGACUUAGAUGGCCAAACGAGCACAGACACUGGACACUGGAGGACUUGAAGAAGGUGUUGUGUGGAUAUCAGUCCAAGGUUGUAAUCUGUUCCCCGCUGUGUAAAUAAACAAACAACUUCCAAUGCUUCAAAAUACUAAACUACAUGCAAAAUUAUUUUCUAAUAAUCAACAGCCUUAUACAGUAAAAUGAUAAUCAUGGGUGAGCUGACAUACAGUACUACCCCCGGUCUGACAGUUGCCGAUAAUCGGCCUCAGUGCACAAAUGUAGCUCAUGCUUUAAAACUAAUAUGAUUAAUUAUUUAAAACAAUUGUGAACUGCAUGAAAAUGUGAUUUUCUGGGGGAUAACACAUAUAUUUGCAGGUGAUUCCAAACCAUUGAGCCGUAGUGUAUGUUUAAUGUAAAGAUGGAGCCUCAAGCUCUUUUUAUGUGCUGUUCUUGUUUUAAGUAUGAUUAAUGAAUUACUAAAAUUAUAGACAUGAAAUUAAAUUACAGCUGAUUUAAUUGUACUUUUUUAUUUCCAGGCCGACACGUAAUUUUUCUCAGUGCCCUCGUGCCCAUCGCGAUAUCACUGCUGCACAGGAGUACAUUGAGUGAUGUCAGGUCACCAGCCACAACAUCGCUUAUUGAUUUUUACAAAUAAAAUAAAAUGAUUACCCGAUGGAAGCGUGUAGAAGUGCUUUGCUUAUCACCAAAGCACUACACUUUGCUGUUUAAAUGCAUGUAUGAACUGAGAAAAAUGUGUCAAAUAGUGCAAUUAAAAUUUCAUCAUAAUGAUUCGUUCAGUACAAAGCGUCUAAUUGCUUUAAAAAAAUACAGUCCCACCAUUAACAAGUCGUUAUUCUAUUUUAUAAAAUAAACCUGUUAUCUUAAUGUGUUUAUGUUCUGCCUCACUAGGUUACGAUACACACACAGACUAACACACACACACACACACACACUCACACGCUCAGAGUGAGAACAGUAGCCCCUGGUUAUCUACAGCAAUGAGUGUAAAUGAUCACAUGGCUGUGGUCAUAAACGCACAGCUUCGCAGGCAACUGAUGGAAGCCGACACUUUGUGUGUAUGCUUGUGUGUGUGUGUGUGUGUGUUUGUGCCUAAUCAUUUUAUACUUCUUAUGUCACUCCCAUUCUCAUCUCUCCUCCCUUGUGUCUUCCUCCUCUUCCUCAAUGCCUCGGGUGAUGAAACUGAUUCUGUUACACGAUUUGCUUCUACCCCCACAAGCUACACUCUCUCUCACACACACACAUGCACGCACACGUUUGCACACUCUCAAGAACCAUAUUAGUGCGUUUAACCUUAUUGAUCGGGUCGUGCCUAUUGACACAGAUCAAGCUGAUCAAUCACUGAUAUCUCUGUUUGCUGGGCGGAGAUGAGCUGUUGGUGAUGGAUAGCGGAUUAAUCAGUAAACACAGUCAAGUGAGUAAAAUUGACACACACACACACACGCAGCCUUACGUAGUGGUGAUAGUUGUACAUUAUUCAGUCAUCAUUACAAGCCUUCAAAAAAGAUCCUGUUUUUCAAUUUUUAUGUUCAAUGUUCUUCUUGAUCAGUGGUAAGUUUUUGGCUUCUUUGUCCUUGUUACCCACUCUGUUUGAAAGACCUUUUGAAGUUAGCUAGCUAGCUAGUCGCUAGCUUGCUAUGCUAUGUGCCUGCUGUGAUCCCGUAGCCUGCGCAAUGUGAUAAAAACAAAGAAUAAUAGGAGUGAAAAAGUGACUAUUUGGGUGUUAUUUUAUGUCGACAGGGCUCUAAUAAUGUUAAAGUUGUAUUUAGAAAGUCAUAAGCAGGUUUUCUACGCUCUGCCUACGAAACUAUUCCGUUUAUUUAUUUUGAAUCCUACCUCACUUAUCGCGGUCGGGUCUUGAACCGAUUAACCACAAUAAACGAGGGACAACUGUAAUGUUAAAAACUUUUAUUUAGAAGGUCAGAAACAUGUUUUCUAUGCUCUAACUACGGAAAUAUUCGAUGAAUCUAUUUAAUUCACUUAUCACGACCAAUUAACUGCGAAAAACAGGGAAUCUUUCAGGUCAUACUGUAUGCAGAAGUCAAUACUAUAGUAAGAAUGAUACCAUAUUUUGGUGUAGGAUUGUAUAUUAUGACUUUUGGUUUCAGUGUGUUAUUCUUACAUGUAUACAGGAUGUGUUAACCAGAUGAGGGACGUGAAUGUGGCUUCAGAGAUUUGUCAGUGUUUAAAAAUGCACACACACACGUACACAUGCACACUCACAGACAGUGUAAUUGAAAACCCACACCUUUCACAAUGUGAAAUGCCUUCAAGGUCCGUGGAAUACUCUCACCAUCUCACCUCGGAGGAACAACUAGAGAAAAAAAUAAUAUUACAGUUCAUUUUUGAGGUCAGUGAGAAGGCAGCGUCGUCAGACAUCACUGAGUCUCUGUGCAUGUGACUUUAUUACAAAAAACCAUAAGAGGACCCCUUUAAUACUGUUAUUUUUGUAGCUUUCAGUAAGAUGGCAUUGAAUCGCUCUUUGCAUUGAGUCCAGUUAGCGUGCUGUCUUAGUGUUUCUGUUGUUAACUCGUGCUUCACGCAGUCAAAUGUGGACAGAAUAUUAAUGACUUUCAGUAUACAGUAUAUUUUCAAUAUAUCAUUUCUAAUGACUAUUCAAACAAAAGAAAACAAUCCGAUCAAGACUACAGGAAUUUGACUCAACCCAAAGCUGAAACUGAAAAACAGUGUUGCUAUUUCACUGCAAGAAAAUUCUGUGUUCAAAUCUUGUCCCUGUACUUUUUUCCGUGUUUCGGCUUUAAACUACUGUGCAGGAACAUGUACAGCAGGGGUGCUCACACUUUUUUAGGCAGCGAGCUACUUUUAAAAUGACCAAGUCCCAAAGAUUUACCUACUACUAUAAAUAUAGUAAGUAUAUAUAUUUACUAUAGUUAUUUUAAACAAAUAUGAGUAGGUAUUUAUGUACGUUAUACAUGUAUAUCAGGAGUGCACGCACUUUCUCAGCAUGUGAGUACAAGUCAAAAUGAUCUACCUCUUUCUAUAAAACAUAACAUUUACAAAAUGUAACCAGUAAACUCUGAAAUUCUAUUGUGAAUAUUGAUGAUUAGUAUUUCACAUUCACAUUUUCAGAGUUUACAGGUAACAAAGUAGUUGCUAUCAUAAGUCACUUCAAUAUGGAAAUAAAGAUAAUUCCACAUAACUCCUAAAUAGUUGUGUACAUAACCUGAGUACUGGUAAUAUGUCAGUCAAAUUAGCUAUGUAACGUUCAUUAGGGCACACAGUUCAUGUAUCACAUCCAGUUAGCGUUUGCUAUCAAACAUUACCGAUAUACAAGAAUUUUAAAUGAUUAUGCAAAAGACAAUGCAGCCGAAGUCAAGGCAUCAUAUUGAAAAGGUUUCACCAAUGGGCGCAUUUUUAAUUUCAGCAUGAAAUAAUAGUUUAAGAAGGGAACGUGCAGAAAACACUGAUUUCUGUAGUAGAGUUCAUGACGCCAAGCAAAGCCAGUAAACAAUACAUUUUUUUCUACGUAACUAGCCGCUACAAGUGAACAGGUAACUUUUCUUAUAGAGAUAAGCAUCUUACCACUGAGUUAGUUCAUCCAUUAACACAAUAAUAAAAAUGAAAGUUGCAUCUUCAUGUGUAGCUCGAAACGCUGCGGGGGAGCAAGCACGAAUCAGGAGGGGAGCUUAAUGUCAGCUGACUGAUGUCAUAUGACAACUACAAAGUGACGUUUAAGCGAUCGACCCGAACUUGACCCAACCAUGGCGAUCUACCGGUAGCUCGCGAUCGACGUAAUGGCCGCCCCCGAUGUAGAGUAUAGGUUAAUAAUGUUUAAAAGCAGCCCUACAGCCGUACCCCCCUGCUUACCUUUAGGAUUCGGACAAUAUACUGAUAUCCCAAUAUCUUAUCAUACGCUUACGUCUUACAAUACAGUAUGGAUAUUCCAUUUAGAGCAACGACUCCACAAUUACGGACAAGAGUUAAGAGUUUUUAAUGCGAUGAAAAUUUGUGUUCUCCUCUAUGUUCUGUCAACACAACACAACCAAUUAAAAUUUUUGUAUUUUAAGUCACGGUUUUUACAUGUUGACCUCUCUACUACCUGUGUUCCUUUUUCAUUUUGAUGAAGAGCAAAGACUCACAGCAUCAGCUGAUCACUGUUACUCUGUUUAAAGAAAAAAAGAGCCGACAGCCUCCGACAAUAACUGGUGAAUGUCUUAAGUGGACGAUUGACAAAAAAUAUAUAUUUUUUCUCUGUGUUGAGUCACUGACAGAUUGCAGGUCAUCAAUUAUGGAAAUAUUAUGAGGAAGAUCUGUUUUUUAAUAUGAAAUGAAAAUUGUAUUUAAUUUAUUUGAGUGUUAACUUCCUGUUUCACUGGGGACCUCAAACCCAUUAAAUAGCUUUAGCAUUAUUUGUAACAGAGAAUGUGCAAAAAGCCCUUGUGGCCAACAUUGGUGACCUCACCAAAGUAGCUUUGUAGGAAUGGGCCAAAAAAAAUCAUAGAUACACGUUAAAAUCUGUGAAGGCAUUCUGAAAACAAUAGCCGAUUUGUUGAUAUCGUGUUUUUAGAGCACCAUUGUGGGAGGUUAGAUGCAUUGAGGAAUGUUUAUGAAUGUUUGCUCUACUAAGGCUAUUUACUUGACACCAACCAUGGACAUUCGUGAACCCAAACUAUGAAAGGAAGUGGACAGGGUGUCAACGUACCAUAUAUAUUUUUCUUUAAAAAAAAAUUGUACACUAGCGUUGAACAGUUCAGGAUGAAGUGGCUGUCGUCUUGUGUGCUGAUGUGUGUAAUUGUAUUUGGAGCAUGAAGAACAAAAAGAGUUUAAGGGACACUCAGGGGAUUAAGGUCAUUUCUGUCAGUAAAUUGUAUAUUGGCAGAAGCAAAGGACAGUGUGGCAGUCCUCACUCUGUGAUCGAGGGGCUCUAUUGCUCAAACAAACAAUUACACUCGUAUUGAAAGGCACACCAGUGGUGUUGAAGGCAGAUUGUUGAGGUGAUUAAGUUAAGCAUUGUAUGGAAAAGUAGAUUCCUAACCAGAAAUGGCCACGGACAACCACCAUGUAUCUUACCAGACAUCCUCAAGAUGUUUAUAAUAUACUCUCCUGAACAAAAUAUUAGGGCGGAAACAAGUGAUCUGAAAUUUUGCAUUUUGCGCUGCUGAAUUGUAAACAGAUUGUUGAGAACACCAAAAUAAAUAAGAACCAACAAUUUAAACUCACACUGUCAUGACCUUUUCACGGCAAAGGCAAAAGGCUUUCUGUCUUUGAACUUGACAGGGUUGUUGAACUGCACAAGCAAGUAGGAUUAUUGCUGCUGAAUUUGGAUGCAGUGGGACAGUGAUUUUAAAUUAAAGAUGUCCUUAGGGUUGUGGCAGAAAAAAAGUUAAGUAGUAAAUCCCCAAAAAAUUCACCUGCACUAAGCCUUAACCCAAAGUAUGGCCCUAACUGACUGCAGGCCCGAUAACCAUAAGAUGACAUCUGUAAGAGAAAAGCUUAAAGGAAAACUGCAUCAUCCACCAUUCCGAUGUGAGACAAGAACACAUCCCUUUUGUGUAUUCUAGAUAGCCGCCUGGUGGUGGCAGUUUUUCACUAAAAAUGCAGGUAAUGCGGAUUCUCCUAUUCCGCCUAAUAAGCCUUGUAAACCAACAUCCGAAAAUGCUGUAACCAUGUGGUGACAGUCACAUUCAUGAUAACAUAUAAAAACUACAGCAUUUUGGUCAUUUAAAGCAUUACUUCUUUCCUGGGCACAUUGAUGUCACAGAGCACAUAGCAACCAACGCUACUUCCGUCAACAACAACUACCACUAAUUCUUACAGACUUUGUGAGAGCCACCGCCAACGACUACUCUGGGACAAACCAGAUCCAGGACCUUAUCUUUUUGAGCCUUAAUAUGCGAAGGAUGAGCUACAGGUUUUAGAAGCUGAGCGGGAACAAAGAGAGGGUGCAACGUUGUGGCAGAGAGUCAGGACCGGUGCCAGCAUGACAUGGUGGUGUAAAUGCGGAGCGUGCCAAGCCAUGCCAACAGAAAUGGAGUGUUUCCACUGCACUGAGUGGCACACAGUGUUACCAUCGAUGGAAAGGCUUCGUGUAUCUGGCAAGGAGGACACUGCUCCAAGAGACUGCAUCACAACCAAAAAAGAAUUGUUAGCGCUAAGAAAUCCUGAAAUGGUAGAAAAUCGACUGGAAAAAAAACCCCAAGGGCAGCUGGACCGGACGGACAACUGUCCAUCACUUAAGUCACCAUGAUAUUGAUUCUGAUACAUGGAGCACAUAGUGCUUGAUAUCACAGCUAUAUGCACAGUUGAUCUAGACGCUGUGGGCAAGACACGGUGUUAUUGCGCCAGGAAAGUAGUUCCUCUGUGUUAGCUCCAAUAAUAGCAAAGUCGCUAUAGCUUGGUUAAUAUGCAGGUCACAGUACGCAAAUGGAGCGUUGUUGCUGUAUUUUAUUAGAGGGAUUUAUAGGUGAAAUAGGUGAAUCCUCAUUGCUUGCAUUGUCAGUGAAUCAAUCAUGUAUUUAGAACGCACAGAAAACGGAAAGACAUGUCUGUUCCUGUCUGCCGUAAGGAUUGUGGAUGAUGGGCAAAAUUGCAAAAAAAAGUGCAGUUUUCCUUUAACGAUGGAGCUUCGGGUUGUACGGUUUUUGGCUGCUGCUUGUGUGGAGACGUUACUGAAUGAAACUAUGGAAGUGGUUUUGGUAGUGGAUUCACUUUUGUUACCAUGUCUGCCUUGGAGGAUGACUAUACUGGACUCUUCUGAUGGAAAUUUUAGGUCAUUAUCAUUAUGAACCAUUAUUCAUCAUACCAGGGAACUGUUCUCUUACGGAUACCAACUUGAAUUAGCACUUUGGAGCUUAUCAAUCAAUGAUCUUUUCACAUACUACUUAAGUGUAGACAUCUUCCAAAAUUGAAAGUACGACUGAGUGAAUAAAUCAGUGUUUCACAGAUACAUAAUGGGUUUUUCCUUGGCUCAUAUUACAACUAUUCAUCCAAUACAAGCAAAAACUUGGCGGCAGUAGCUGCUAAUGAAGAGCCGAUUUUCCUUGUGAAGCCCUUUCUGUUUUUGCCAUGCUUAUUCAGUACUACUGUAUAUUCAAGCAACCUAUUAGGAGUGCAUUCUUCCGUUGUUCUUUUCUCUCCUGCUGUAUUUACAGUGAGUAACGUCACACACUUCAAGUCUCUUCCGACACCUGACCUAAUUUAUCAAACAAUGCAUUUUUCCAUUGACAAUGUACUUCAUUCAUUAAACUCCACAUUUAUUUAUUGGCACCGGCAAUACAAUUGCAGAUGUAAAUCAAUGUGUACAUCUACAUUAAUUUCAACUCAUUUGAACCCAAAAUGAUCUUAGCACAUAGCACAAAUGCUAUAAAUAAACCACCCUUAAUAAACAGCCCUGCCCAAACCCUAUGACGCAUGGUGAAAGUAUGUUUAACUGCCAAGUGCAAACAAGUGAACUAAGGAAUCUUCUACUAUGAAAGCUCAGACUGAAAUCUUGAAAGUCAUCAUUUUGGCCAUCAACUUCUGAAAUUAACGUCAUUUUGAUUGACCAAGUUCAAAAUGAACAAAAAUCUGUGUUGGGAUAUGAAAAAGUGUUAUGGUGGUCCUUCGUCACUUCGCCGUUUAAAUUCCACAGCUCUGUCAUGAUUUUUCAAAAAUAUAUUAAUUAAUAAAUCAUGCUGUUUAGUGGUUCAAUAUAGCCUAUUAUUAAUUUAAAAAAUGCACAUUUAAGCAAAUGUUAUUUAUUUUUUUGCUUAAAUGGAGCAUUUUCAAACAUACUAAUGGCUAAAUGAACUAAAAUACAAAUAUAAGGCAUUCAAUAGAUGCAUUCAAAGACGCGGUGAAUGAUAUGUAGUUCUACACUGGUCACUAAGUGUCGGUAAUGUUACUGUAAUGUUCGUUGAGACACAAACGCCAGACCAUUUCACUGGAGCAACAGGCUUUUGUUGAAGGUUUGAAUUAUCUCACAACAGGCACAAUAAUCCCUAAUAAAAAUACCCUAAUAUAAACACGGGUAGUUGUAGCCCACGGCAAACUAAAACUCAACUCUGAAUCCCGGAUGUCACUUUCUGUCCACCCGGUACUCAGCUCCCCUAGGGAACACAUUUCUAGCAACACACACGAGCACAAAUCUUAUUAAUGUUUUAAUUCGCUUCUUUACUCUUAUUAUGUCUACUAUGUUGGGUAAUAUGAGUGUAAAGGUGAAUAUAGGGGUGUUAGUUAAUGUCAAGAGGGCUCUAAUAAUGUUAAAACCAAUAUUUAGAAGAUCAUAAACAAGUUUUUCACUCUCUAACUAUGAAACUAUUUGAUUUAUAAGUAAGGAAUCCUACUUGAAAAUGAGUACUUCACCGUCGGGUCUAUGUACCAUGAGUGGAUACACCUUCAUUACUGACCAGUUUCAUGUGUUGACAUUAAGCUCAUUGAACUUUUGCACCUCCCGGAAUCUCUCUUGUAUAUGUCUUAUGUAAAGACACAGACCGCAUCAGUCUUUUUUUUUUUAUUCAGCAAAACACACAUGCAAGGAGUAUUAGCCAACUGGUUUUACAGGAUGUGGAGGGAACUCCUCAUGAUGAGGAAACGUGGACUUCAUUUUGUUACCAUGUCCCACUUUUCUUUUCAAACUCUCCAUGUUUGGUGACAUUGCACUUAAAUACAAAUUUUUGGAUAAUUUUUAUUGAAAAUGUCGAUCUGAUUCCCUUGAAUAUGUAUAACACUGCAUAACCAUUUCAAUGCAACACAAAGAAAUAAGAAUGUAUAGACAAAAGCAACCUAAUACACCGGUGGAGUUCCCUUUUCCACACAAACAAACAUGAACAGCGUAACAAGGGAGAAAGCAGACACACCUGAGAACCUGCAUGUUCUGUUUGAGGAGGGAGACCUGUUGUUACCUGCCUUUAGGCUGGGUUCACACUCGCACACACGCAAGAAGGACACACUCGCUCGGUGGCUAAACAAACCAACCACCCAGCUGUGUGCGACUGUGUGUGUGUGUUUGUGUGUGGACAGGCGGACCCUCCAUCAGCA